CGAGCCCACUGGGAUUACUCAUCCAACUUUUGUUGACGGGUGGUGUGCUUCUGAGGGGCGUUGAUGCAACAGCCGGGCGUUUAAUAUAAAGCACGGUGGUAUUCGAGAUUAUAGGCGUGCCGUGCUACUCCAUUGAUUGAUGGCCGCGUCCCAAAGUUGCGUAUAUGCCUCGGAAUGGGGCAACUUCUCACGCAAUGCCUGGCGAAAUCUUCAAUUUGAUUUAAUUUAACGGGGUGACUCUUAAUACGGAAAAUGCCGGAUAUGAAUAGCGCAUGACAAAUAAAUACCACUUCAAAGA
rnacentral:sRNA from 1 species